GUGAGGAAUAUUGCGCAAUGGAGGCAACUCUGACGCAGCCAUGCCGCGUGCAGGAAGAAGGCGCUACGCGUUGUAAACUGCUUUUAACCGGGAAGAAACCCCAGGACGUGUCCUGGGUUGACGGUACCGGAGGAAUAAGCACCGGCUAACUUCGUGCCAGCAGCCGCGGUAAUACGAAGGGUGCAAGCGUUAUCCGGAUUCAUUGGGUUUCAAGGGUGCGUAGGCGGAGCGUUAAGUCAGUGGUGAACUCCUGCAGCUUAACUGUAGACUUGCCAUUGAUACUGGCGCUCUUGAGUGCGCUUGAAGUGGGCGGAAUGUGCCGUGUAGCGGUGAAAUGCUUAGAUAUGGCACAGAACACCAAUUGCGAAGGCAGCUCACUAAGGCGAUACUGACGCUGAGGCACGAAAGCGUGGGGAUCGAACAGGAUUAGAAACCCUUGUAGUCC
rnacentral:rRNA from 1 species